AGGGUUUGAUCAUGGCUCAGAUUGAACGCUGGCGGUAGGCUUAACACAUGCAAGUCGAGCGAGAAAGUAUCUUCGGAUAUGAGUAGAGCGGCGGACGGGUGAGUAACGCGUAGGAAUCUACCUAGUAGAAGGGGAUAGCCCGGGGAAACUCGGAUUAAUACCGUAUACCUCCUAAGGGAGAAAGAGGGCCUCUCUUGAUGCUCUCGCUAUUAGAUGAGCCUGCGUAAGAUUAGCUUGUUGGUGAGGUAAUGGCUCACCAAGGCUGCGAUCUUUAGCUGGUCUGAGAGGACGAUCCGCCACAUUGGGACUGAGACACGGCCCAGACUCCUACGGGAGGCAGCAGUGGGGAAUAUUGGACAAUGGGCGCAAGCCUGAUCCAGCCAUACCGCGUGUGUGAAGAAGGCCUUCGGGUUGUAAAGCACUUUAAGCAGGGAGAAAAAGUUAUAAGUUAAUACCUUAUAACCGUGAUGUUACCUGCAGAAUAAGCACCGGCUAAUUCCGUGCCAGCAGCCGCGGUAAUACGGAAGGUGCAAGCGUUAAUCGGAAUUACUGGGCGUAAAGCGCGCGUAGGUGGUUUGUUAAGUUGGAUGUGAAAGCCCUGGGCUCAACCUAGGAACUGCAUCCAAAACUAACUCACUAGAGUACGAUAGAGGGAGGUAGAAUUCACAGUGUAGCGGUGGAAUGCGUAGAUAUUGUGAAGAAUACCAAUGGCGAAGGCAGCCUCCUGGAUCUGUACUGACACUAAGGUGCGAAAGCGUGGGUAGCGAACAGGAUUAGAUACCCUGGUAGUCCACGCCGUAAACGAUGUCAACUAGCUGUUGGGAAACAAUGUUUCUCAGUGGCGCAGCUAACGUAGUAAGUUGACCGCCUGGGGAGUACGGCCGCAAGGCUAAAACUCAAAUGAAUUGACGGGGACCCGCACAAGCGGUGGAGCAUGUGGUUUAAUUCGAUGCAACGCGAAAAACCUUACCUAUACUUUACAUACUUGGAAUGCUUUGUAAUGAAGCAGUGCCCUCGGGAGCCAAGAUACAGGUGCUGCAUGGUUGUCGUCAGCUCGUGCUGUGAAGUGUCGGGUUAAGUCCCAUAACGAGCGCAACCCCUAUCAUUAGUUGCUAACAUUUAGUUGAGGACUCUAGUGAAACUGCCCGCGCAAGCGUGGAGGAAGGUGGGGAUGACGUCAAAUCAUCACGGCCCUUACGUCUAGGGCUACACACGUGCUACAAUGGUGAAUACAGAGGGAAGCCAGCUGGUAACAGUGAGCAAAUCCAUAAAAUUCAUCUCAGUUCGGAUUGAGGUCUGCAACUCGACCUCAUGAAGCUGGAAUCGCUAGUAAUCGUAUAUCAGCCAUGAUACGGUGAAUACGUUCCCGGGCCUUGUACACACCGCCCGUCAAGCCAUGGAAGUUGGGGAUACCUGAAGUCGGUAACCGAAAGGAGCUGCCUAAGGUAAAAUCAGUAACUGGGGCUAAGUCAUAACAAGGUAGCCGUA
rnacentral:rRNA from 1 species